UACGGAGGGUGCGAGCGUUGUCCGGAAUCACUGGGCGUAAAGGGCGCGUAGGUGGCGCGGGGAGUCAACGGUGAAAGUUCGGGGCUCAACCCUGAAUCGGCCGUCGAUACUCCCGGGCUCGAGCACUGUAGAGGCAGAUGGAAUUCCGGGUGUAGCGGUGGAAUGCGUAGAGAUCCGGAAGAACACCGGUGGCGAAGGCGGUCUGCUGGGCAGUUGCUGACACUGAGGCGCGACAGCGUGGGGAGCAAACAGG
rnacentral:rRNA from 1 species